rnacentral:lncRNA from 1 species
AAAAAUUGAAAUUUGGGACAAAAAUUGGGAGUUGAAUGGAUUUAGUUGGAUUAAGUAAUUUUUUAUUUUAUAAUUUUAUGAAUAUUUUAUCUAUUAUAAACAUUUUAUACUAUUUAAAAACAUUAGAACCCUAAGCCUAUGUGGGGCAAUUGAAUGGUUGGUAAAGGCUCAGGCUUACUUAUGAAAAGUAGUAAUAGAGAUUCAUCAGUUUUGGCUAAAUGGAUACUUCUAUUUUGAGAUAGAAGAUGAAAAAUCGAAUUGUGAUUAAUUCGACUAUUUUGAAAUAAUUAGAAAAUUACAAAAAUGAAAUUGACUAACAAAAAUUGGGCCAAUUAUUCAAACAAAUGAUAUUGGGUUCGUUCCUUGAUCAACAUGGGCCCGAUUGGGAUUGUGACACGGCCAAACUCUUACGGGAGGCAACAAUGGGAAACUCUCUACAAUUGGUGAAAGCUUGACGAAGCAAUGUGGCAUGGAGGUGGGAGGUCCACUGGCCGUGGA